UACGGAGGGGGCUAGCGUUGUUCGGAAUUACUGGGCGUAAAGCGCGCGUAGGCGGCUUUGUAAGUUAGAGGUGAAAGCCCGGAGCUUAACUCCGGAACUGCCUUUAAGACUGCAUCGCUAGAAUUGUGGAGAGGUGAGUGGAAUUCCGAGUGUAGAGGUGAAAUUCGUAGAUAUUCGCAAGAACACCAGUGGCGAAGGCGGUUCACUGGCCCGAUACUGACGCUGAGGUGCGAAAGCGUGGGGAGCAAACAGG
rnacentral:rRNA from 1 species